GGGGAAUAUUGGACAAUGGGGGAAACCCUGAUCCAGCAAUGCCGCGUGAGUGAUGAAGGCCUUAGGGUUGUAAAGCUCUUUCGGUGGUGACGAUGAUGACGGUAACCACAGAAGAAGCACCGGCUAACUUCGUGCCAGCAGCCGCGGUAAGACGAAGGGGGCUAGCGUUGUUCGGAAUUACUGGGCGUAAAGCGCACGUAGGCGGCCUUUCAAGUCAGAUGUGAAAGCCCCGAGCUUAACUCGGGAAAUGCAUUUGAUACUGUUGGGCUAGAGACCGGGAGAGGAUAGCGGAAUUCCCAGUGUAGAGGUGAAAUUCGUAGAUAUUGGGAAGAACACCAGUGGCGAAGGCGGCUAUCUGGACCGGCAUUGACGCUGAGGCGCGAAAGCCAGGGGAGCAAA
rnacentral:rRNA from 1 species